GGGCCCAAAUAGAGGGCUUAUCAGAAUCCGCCCGUUGCUUUUGAGAAGUGAGAAUUCCUGUGGUUGUUUCCGUUGGUGGCGGAGGGGAAUGAAUGAUGGUGCCUGUGGUCUGUCCCUGUGAUCUGAGGUGUAGCCGAGUUGGAAGCAAGGCCUUGUUUAGUUGGGGAAUUUGGGAGGUGCCAAAUUACUGUUACAGCACUGUAGCACACUGUAGCGUUUCGUUUGUAUUUGUGAAUUAUUGUCCAAAUAUUGACUAAUUAGGCUCAAAAGAUUCGUCUCGCAAAGUACAACAAAACUGUGCAAUUAGUUUUUAAUUUCAUCUACAUUUAGUACUCCAUGCAUGUACCGCAAGUUUGAUGUGAUGGGGAAUCUUCUUUUUGCAUAGUGUCAAAGUUGGGAGUUGGGAGUAACUAAACAUGACCCAAGAUUGAUACGGUUGGCAGCGAGCGGCCCUGAAAUUCCUGCGCAGACUUCUCUGUCCUGUUGAAGA
rnacentral:lncRNA from 1 species